rnacentral:rRNA from 1 species
GACGAACGCUGGCGGCGUGCUUAACACAUGCAAGUCGAACGGAAAGGCCUGCUUUCCCUUGUGGAUUGCGGGUACUCGAGUGGCGAACGGGUGAGUAACACGUGAGUGAUCUGCCCCCAACUUGGGUAUAAGCCUGGGAAACUGGGUCUAAUUCCCGAUAGGACUGCAGGGUGGUGCCUGUGGUGGAAAACGAUUUUCUAGUGGUUGGGGAUGAGCUCGCGGCCUAUCAGCUUGUUGGUGGGGUAAUGGCCUACCAAGGCGGCGACGGGUAGCCGGCCUGAGAGGGUGGACGGCCACAUUGGGACUGGGAUACGGCCCAGACUCCUACGGGAGGCAGCAGUGGGGAAUAUUGCACAAUGGGCGGAAGCCUGAUGCAGCGACGCGGCGUGGGGGAUGACGGCCUUCGGGUUGUAAACUCCUUUCGACCGCGAGGAAGCCACCUGGUUGGAAGGGUGGUGACGGUAGUGGUAGAAGAAGCACCGGCUAACUACGUG